rnacentral:lncRNA from 1 species
UCGUUUGUUUGAAAUGGUCUGGAUAUAUAUGUGGUUUAUACCUAGAAUGUGUUGGCUAUAUUGCUCUGUCUUCUUCACUGUGUCUUUGUCUGCCUCUUCUCAUUUAAUAGAAAGUAUUCAUGUCACUUGAUUUGUAAGUCAUGAUAUUGCAAUUGUAAUGUAGCGAUUCGCCAUGUUAAUAUUGUCUUUUUUUUUGUUGUUUAAAGCACACUUCUUGACCUUGGUUUGAUUAGGAAAACUUCUAUUAUCUCAAAGUGCGG